rnacentral:rRNA from 1 species
GACGAACGCUGGCGGCGUGCUUAACACAUGCAAGUCGAACGGUGAAGGGACCAGCUUGCUGGUUCUGGAUGAGUGGCGAACGGGUGAGUAACACGUGAGUAACCUGCCCCCUUCUUCUGGAUAACCGCAUGAAAGUGUGGCUAAUACGGGAUAUUCUGGGUCUGUCGCAUGGCGGGCCCGGGAAAGAUAUUGCUUCGGUGGGGGAUGGGCUCGCGGCCUAUCAGCUUGUUGGUGGGGUGAUGGCCUACCAAGGCGGUGACGGGUAGCCGGCCUGAGAGGGUGGACGGUCACACUGGGACUGAGACACGGCCCAGACUCCUACGGGAGGCAGCAGUGGGGAAUAUUGCACAAUGGGCGCAAGCCUGAUGCAGCGACGCCGCGUGAGGGAGGGAGGCCUUCGGGUUGUAAACCUCUUUCGCCAGUGAAGCAGGCCUGCUCCUUGUGGGUGGGUUGACGGUAGCUGGAUAAGAAGCGCCGGCCAACUACGUG